rnacentral:rRNA from 1 species
AAACUUUUCAGGGGUAAACCUGAGAAACCCAAAAGAUCGAAUGGGGAGAUUCAUCGUCGACGGCGUUGGCUACCGUUUGUGCGCGAUGCUCCGGGUGGGACCCUGCGGUUCCAUUAGCGAGGGCACGCCACCUUCGGAUCGAACUUUCCUGCGUCGUAGUCGUGCACUUCUCCCCUAGUAGGACGUCGCGACCCGUUGUGUGUCGGUCUACGGCCCGAGCGGGAGACUGUCGCGUCGCUUCGGCGCACGCGGCAGACCCUCGGUCGCCCGGCCGGCUGCACGACGGUACACCAACGGUAUCGGGCCGCAGCCAAUCCAUUCUCGAAUGUGUGUGCGUCCAUCCCGCCGCAAGCUCGGUCAGUUCUUACCCGGAGGUACGGACCCUGUGCCGUCCCCGGGCCUGGCCAGCUGUUAGCAGGCGGUGUCCUCGGACCGGCCAAACCUCGGAUUACCGGUCGGCGACGCUAUUGCUUUGGGUACUCUCAGGACCCGUCUUGAAACACGGACCAAGGAGUCUAACAUGUGCGCGAGUCAUUGGGAUGCACAAACCUAAAGGCGAAAUGAAAGUGAAAGUCGGCCUUCGCGCCGAUCGAGGGAGGAUGGGCCGCGUAACCAUGCGGCCCCGCACUCCCGGGGCGUCUCGUUCUCACUGCGAGAAGAGGCGCACCUAGAGCGUACACGUUGGGACCCGAAAGAUGGUGAACUAUGCCUGGUCAGGACGAAGUCAGGGGAAACCCUGAUGGAGGUCCGUAGCGAUUCUGACGUGCAAAUCGAUCGUCGGAACUGGGUAUAGGGGCGAAAGACUAAUCGAA